rnacentral:misc_RNA from 1 species
AUAAAAGAAUAAAAAGUGUUUUAUUUUAUAGGAGAGGUGUAGGUAACCUAUUGAUAAGAAACACUACAUGAAGAAUGGAAUAGGACAAAAAAAGUUUGGCCAGUUUAGAUUGAAACAGCAAAGCCUUAGCAACAUUCAAAAUAUGCUGACAUUUUCUUUCAAUAAUAGCAUUCUGUUGAAUACAUGUAAUUUGAUGCAAAAUUUCUUUUUGAGCAUAAAAAUCAGACAUUGAGAAUUCAGAACCAUUGUCAUUCCUAGUGGCUUUAACUUUGGCAUCAAAUUGAGUUUCCGCCAUUUGAAUGAAAGACUGUAAAUGAUGUCUAGUUUUAGAUUUGGAUUUCAUCAAAAAAACCCAUGUUUAUCUACUAUAAUCAUCA